CUUCGCACAAGGGUCCUUCGAUAACAAUUUGCUGAGUGCCAGAACCACCGCCCUUCUGGCUUACAUUCCCAACUUUGCGAAGAGUAACAUACUCUCCACAUCGCAAUGCUCCACCAGCAAAUUCAACCUGGACACCCUUGCUAGCAAGGAACUGUUUGAAAUCCGCCAUUCUCAAAUCACCAACAAGAACGGAUUUAUGUGGGGGGGCUGAAGUAGUGAUGGGUAAUAAUGAUAACAUGCCACUCUCUGUUCUCCCUACCUCAGCAUCCACCCAAGCUAUUUCAUAAUCUCCCAACUUUUUAAAGAGCACAUUACUCAUCAGCUUCUCGGACAAUUGCACCUUGUAAGCACACAAAUCAGACGUAACAUCAAUGGUCUCUUCAAUUUGAGGGGCAUAAACUUGAGGACAGACAUGUUUUAAGCAAUGCUGCUUUAGAUGUUCUGUGGACUCAGCUGAUCCAUGCACCAAAACAAGCUUCAGAGGAGCCACAUGGGCAAGAAUUGAUUUAAUCGACCGUCCAUCAGAACGACCCUCAUAAUCCAUGUAAAUCAGCGAACACUUCACUUGAACAGUCAAUUCAUUGGACACAACUUUUGAAGGCUUUGUAUCAAGUAUCAAACUAGCACAUCCUUCAUCAAGUUUUCCAUCAAUAUCUCCUCCAACAUGCAUAGCUGCCUGGUCCAUGUCAUCAUCCUUAAUUACGUAGUCAUCAGGAUUUAUGACUUCACCAAAAUCGUCCCACUCAGUAGUAUUUUCAUAGAACGGAAACAUUGGUGCAACACUAGUGGGUGGAGGAACAAAUCCAUCAAUUAAUAUGUCCCGGUAUCCAGUCCCAUGUGAACCAGCU
rnacentral:misc_RNA from 1 species